rnacentral:misc_RNA from 1 species
GUGAAUCAUCGAAUUUUUGAACGCAAAUUGCACUCUCUUCGGAGAGUAUGCCUGUUUGAGGGUCAGCCUAAAAAAAAAUCGACAUAGUCGCUGUUUCGCGGUGACAUUCGUGGGAAAUUGGGUCAUCUUAAACCUUUGGGUUUUAAGCGGCUUAAAAUUUUCUUUAAGUUUGCACGAACGUUUUUAAGAUUUAUUUAUUAUAUGUUGAAGGUGUGGAUCUUGUUUAGACGUGGCCGUUG